GUAGCAUUUUUGAUGUAACUACAACUGGUUUUAGUAGCAUUGCUGAUGUAACUACAACUGGCGUUAGUAAUUUUGCUGGUGUAACUGCAACCGGUUUUAGUAACGUUGCUGGUGUCACUGCAACUGGCGUUAGUAGUUUUGCUGGUGCAGCUGCAAGUAGUAUUAGCACUAUGACGGCUGGAGCUCCCAGAGGGUUUAGCACUGUUGGUAGUGGAAUUACUUCCAUCACUACUGGUAUAUCUAAUAUUGCCGGUACAACUGCAAGUGGCAUAGCAGGCGGUGCUAGUAGCGUUGCUGGUCUAACAGCAACUGGCAUUAAUAGCGUUGCUGGUAUAACUGCAACCGGUGUUAGUAGCGUUGCUGGUGUAACUGCAACUGGCAUUAGUAGCAUUGCUGGUUUAACUGCAACCGGCGUUAGUAACGUUGCUGGUGCUGUUGCAAGCGGCAUGAAUACUGUAGCGGGUGUAACCCCAAGAGAUUACAGUAACGUUGCGACCGGGGUUGGAUCUCUCACUACGGGUAUACCUGGUGGAAUAAGCAUCGUUGCCGAAAGUAUCUUACAUAGCCUUACCGUCGUUGCUUUGGGAAUAUAUAGUGGCAUUAGCAUCGUUGCCGGUAGCGUAUACAGUGGCAUAAGAAGUGUUGCUGGUAGUAGUUCUGGUGCGAGUGGCGAGUCUGGUGGCGGUUACUCCGGUGGGACACGAUCAAUAGCAACACAAGCAGGCAGCAAUAUGGCCGAAACGACGGGAAUCAUCAUAUUCGCACUGUGGUACAUAGCGAUCGCGUUCAACUACUUGAUGGGUUGGUUACCGAACCCAGAGCCACCUCCGGGUGAAGGUGGUGCCGCCGCCUCCUCCGGCGGCGCUCCACCUGCAGGAAAACCUGCUGCGCCUUCAGCUGCAGCACCAGCUCAAGACUUGCCACUCACGCCUUUACCAGCAACCAGAUAUAAUUAAAUAUAGGGGUUGGUUACCGAACCCAGAGCCACCACCGGGUGAAGGUGGUGCCGCCGCCUCCUCCGGCGGCGCUCCACCUGCAGGAAAACCUGCUGCGCCUUCAUCUGCAGCACCAGCUCAAGAGUCAGACUUGCCACUCACGCCUUCACGACCAACUAGAUAUUAUUAAAUAUAGGUAUGAAUAUGUCGUGGGGCCAUCCAUUAAUCACUGCUCUUACUGACUAAAACCGACCCGUUCCUACUUCUGCUUCGUUUCGAAGCCCUAGGAACCCGUUCAGUAGUCCGCAGUUGCAAAUGAACAUGUAUGUCUAUUAAAUACUGUUAAUGUACUCGUACAAAUAAGAUUUUUAUUGGUACUUUUUAUCUUGGUCCAUACUUUUCUAGAAUAAAACUAGAUUAUAUACUAUAUAAAUUUAAAAAUUUAAGAUUCUUUGUAGAUACUAAAAUGCAUUUGAUUUUAGUUGGAGUAGGGGUUAAAGGUUCUAAUGAAAUAUCUCGUGAUUAAUGGACGGUCCCAUUUCUGAAUAGAGGUAUAAUCCGAUUGUUUGACUACACAGUUGACGAAGUAGCUGCACCAUCGGCUAUAGCCCAAUGUGUUGUAAGUUCGCUUCUUCAAGGAAAAUAUAUAUCAGAAGAAAAUAUCGAGGCACGCUAUGAAGACUGUUUAUGAAACAUUUAUAGAAAUGUCAACCACAAAUAAUUAUGUGACGUACUUACCAAUUCAAUAAUGAAAUACUUGGUCAAGACUUGGAGUCAUACAAGAUGGACUGAUGGACACCAUUUCCUCAUAACAUUUGCAAUAACCUAAAAAGUGAUCGAACUAUAAUGCCGUUUCGAUCGCGUGGAUCAACAAUUCAACAUUCAGAAUAAGGGUAGGGUGUCGCAUAUCUGCGCGGGAGUCGACUCCGCCCCUCCCGCCGCCCCGCCCUACCUUCACCCCCUUUCAACUUCAUUGCGAAAUUAUUCAGAUAAAGCCGCCGAAAAAUAGUCAUCUUCACUCCUAAUUAAGAAACCAUAGACUUUCCUUCUGCCUGCUAUAAUAUUUGAAUAAUAAAAAAUCCUUAAUAAUUGUAAAACAAUAAAAUUUUCAAAAUUAUGUAAUUCAAUGUUGUUGUUUUUACAUUUCUACAUUUGAUUCGGUAUUUUAUUUUCAUACCCUGUUAAUUUCCUGUCUGUCUUUAUUCUAAAUUCAUCGAAAUUGGCUUAGCGGU